ensembl:lncRNA
UUUUAUAAAUAUGAGGCUUCUUGUCAUGAGUGAAUUUUUCUUAGUGACUUUAAUAAAUACAAAACAUGAACCCAUAUAUAUAUAUAUAUAUAUAUACAUACAUACAUACAUACAUACAUACAUACAUAUAUGGGAUAUAAAGUUAUGAGGUUUGUUUACAUCCAAUUCUAAAUCUUGAGGUCGAAAGCUAACUGAUUUUCAAGUCUUUCAAGCUCCCUUAAUUUCCUCUUAUCCCCGCUACUGUACCUAUUUAAAAAACAAACUCAGAAACAUAAGCAUUAACAUCUUUUCUCUCAUUAUUUUAUAAAAGUAAAAGGAGAGAGAAAGAGAGAGAAGGGAAUUGGAUAAAUUGGUCUGAGCAUUUCAUUAUAACUUGAUGUGAUACUCUUUAGAAUUUAAAAAAAAAAUUAUUUCUUUAUUUUUUGUUUUGUGUGACCGUGAAAGCCAAGGGCAGGCACAGGGAUUUAGCUGCUUCCAGACGGUUAUUAAAUCAGCUCAGCUACCUAUACUAUCACUCUGCAUCUGUUUACAGCUUCACCUUUGAAGUACAACAUAAUAAUGUCAAGUGCCAUGUUGGGUACAGUACAAUCAGUCUCUGAAAUCCGCGCCCCGUCCCACAGCUUUUAAUUUUCCUUCCCCUGUAAACUGUGCGAGGAGGGAGAGGCUCUGUCAAGUCGAGGAGUGAGAUACUUCUCUUGUAGUUGUGCUUUGUUCCAUUAGAGGGGGCUAGCGGACCCAUUAUUUGCCUGAAUUUCACUUUGCUGAUAACUGACCCUUUCACCCCAACCAUGCGUGGGUUAAAGUGUUAGCACUGAUUAUGUUAUUUGCCAGUGUUUUCUUUGCCUCUCGGUAUUAAGUAUUGGCUUUGCUAUUUGUGUUCACAUGAGAAAGGGCUGGGCACUACUGUAUGUAAAAACAGUAUUGUGAGUAUUGAAGUAAUGUCAAAGUGAUACUCCCUGUUUCCUAUAAAGUGUCUGGAGCACUGCUGUAGUGGCUAACUGCACUGCACUGCACUGAUUCUCCCAUCGCACCCAGCGAGUGCCCCUUCCCACUUCCCUUCAACCCACCUCCUAAACCUUGGCCCUCCCUGCAUCCUGCGUCAUGCAUGCGAUCUAAUCCCUCUUGUGAUGGCGGAGGAGUAAUGACAAUUCUGUAGUUGUGAUACAACACACCCAGCGCUGUAAGAGUUCUGCACAUGCCCACUGUGUGGCCACGUCAAGUGCUGAAGUUUGCUUGCAGCAUUUUAAUUGCUUGCUCAUGAAAAUCAAUUAUUGUUUAAUAGAGAUUAUAUUAUUAUUGUUAUAACCACAUUUGGUUGUUGUGGUAUUUUUUUUUCUUGGUAUAUUCGAAGUCUGCUUCUUUUGGAUAUGAAAGUUUGCUAAAAAUGUUUUUUAUUAGAAAAAAAGUGUCGCAUUAUUCUAUAUUAUAUGGGGGGAAAGCCUGUUUGUUGAUUGUGAAACAUAUGAACUGAUGUUUUCUGACUAUUCAUGUCUGUAUUAGACAUUUUAUUUGCAAAUCUAUUGUUCGAUUGAAAUGUAAACUAUUAAGAGAUGGUACACAUCCGUCAUUGUAUACAGUCUGACACCAUCAUUAGAUGGACUUUUAGUAUAGACGCUCAUUUAUACAACCUGUGAUAAUCAGAUAUAGUUAAAUGUUUAAGUCAUUGGGGCAGUUGUGUAAUGUUUCAGAAUGAGGAAACUACAAUCCUUAAGAGACGGUAUAUCCAAAAGGUCCCCAAGAUGAAUAAUACUGUUAUGUAUUCCAUUUAUUUCCUUGGAAAUAUCACGUUGUGAAAGGUUUCCCUUUUACUAAUUGUGCAGUAAUGCAGGGCUGGAGUAAAGUCUAACCUAUGGUGGUGAUGAUUUAUGUGCUCUUAAUAAUGUAUGAAACUGUUUGAGUUUUGUUUUACUGACUGAUUCUUCUGGUGCAUUUUCUGGCUUGUUCAAAUGUAUUACAAUGACUUGCAGACAGCUUGGCCCAGCGGCAUACUGCUUCGGGGUUGCACUGAGACGUUAAGUUAUGAAAAAGAAGAUUUUAGCACAUGAAAUUGCAUGCUAUAAUAAACC